CAUGGCUGUCGUCAGCUCGUGUCGUGAGAUGUUCGGUUAAGUCCGCUAACGAGCGCAACCCUCGCUGUGUGUUAUAUGUGUCGACAUGGGACUGCGGCCUUAAGCCGGAGGAAGGUGGGGAUGAUGUCAAGUCAGCAUUGGCCUUUAUGGUCCUGGGCUACACACACGCUACGAAUGGUCAGCACAAUGGGUCGCUAAGCCGCAAGGUGGAGCCAAUACCUCAAAGUUGGCCUCAGUUCAGAUUGUAGGCUGCAACUCGCCUGCAUGAAGAUGGAGUUGCUAGUAAACGCAGGUCAGCUAUACUGCGUUGAAUACGUUCCCGGGGCUU
rnacentral:rRNA from 1 species